UGUUCCCUGCGGUGUUAGUUAAGGCCCAUAUUCUUUGAACCAAUUUUUAGAAACAGGUUGCCCGCUAGAUUGAUACUGUUGUGUGUUUCCUCCUUUAGGGAGAUACCUGAUGUAUCCUGCAGCAACCGCCUUGGACCUGCUGGUUCAAGAGGACGGUCUAACGGCAUAUGUGGGGAGCUU
rnacentral:other from 1 species